GAAAUGCGAUAAGUAAUGUGAAUUGCAGAAUUCCGUGAAUCAUCGAAUCUUUGAACGCACAUUGCGCCCUCUGGUAUUCCGGGGGGCAUGCCUGUCCGAGCGUCAUUGCGAACCCCUCAAGCACGGCUUGUGUGAUGGGCCCUCCCGCGUCUUGGUCGUCAAGACGGGCCCGAAAUGCAGUGGCGGCUUCGCGGUUAUCCGAUCAGCCAGAGCGUAUGGGGACUUUCUCUCUGUCACACGCCCGCGGCGCGGACCGACGCCUGUCGACCUUUAUUCAUCUUUUUCUCGGUUGACCUCGGAUCAGGUAGGGAUCCCCGCUGAACUUAAGC
rnacentral:misc_RNA from 1 species